UAAUCUGAUCUGGUAAAGCGAAUGAUUAGAGGCCUUAGGGUCGAAACGAUCUUAACCUAUUCUCAAACUUUAAAUGGGUAAGAACCUCACCUUUCUUGAUAAUGAAGGUCGAGGUUGUGAUAUAUUGUGCCCAGUGGGCCACUUUUGGUAAGCAGAACUGGCGCUGUGGGAUGAACCAAACGUAAUGUUACGGUGCCCAAAUUAACAACUCAUGCAGAUACCAUGAAAGGCGUUGCUUGCUUAAAACAGCAGGACGGUGGAUAUGGAAGUUGUAAUCCGCUAAGGAGUGUGUAACAACUCACCUGCCGAAGCAACUAGCCCUUAAAAUGGAUGGCGCUUAAGUUGUAUACCUAUACAUUACCGCUAAAGUAAAUGAUAAA
rnacentral:rRNA from 1 species